AUUGAACGCUGGCGGCAGGCCUAACACAUGCAAGUCGAACGGUAACAGGAAGCAUCUUGCUGCUUUGCUGGCGGGUGGCGUACGUGUUACUUAUGUCUCUGCCACUUCCUGGUGGAUGGGGUUAACUACUGGAAACUGUAACUAAUACCGCCUUAUGUCGCAAGACCAAAGAGGUUGGCCUUCGGCCCUCUCGCCUUCGCCUAUGCCGAGGUGGGAUUAGCUAGUAGGUGGGGUAAAGGCCUACCAAGGCGACGAUCCGUACCUGGUCUGAGAGGAUGAACAGCCACACUGGAACUGAGACACGGUCCAGACUCCUAAGGGAGGCAGCAGUGGGGAAUAUUGGACAAUGGGCGAAAGCCUGAUGCAGCCAUGCCGCGUGUAUGAAGAAGGUCUUCGGAUUGUAAAGUACUUUAAGUGGGGAGGAAGGGAAGAAAGUUAAUACCUUGGCGCAUUGACGUUACCAGCAGAAGAAGCACCGGCUAACUCCGUG
rnacentral:rRNA from 1 species